rnacentral:rRNA from 1 species
GAUGAACGCUGGCGGCGUGCUUAACACAUGCAAGUCGAACGGUGAACACGGAGCUUGCUCUGUGGGAUCAGUGGCGAACGGGUGAGUAACACGUGAGCAACCUGCCCCUGACUCUGGGAUAAGCGCUGGAAACGGCGUCUAAUACUGGAUACGAGUAGCGGCCGCAUGGUCAGUUACUGGAAAGAUUUUUUGGUUGGGGAUGGGCUCGCGGCCUAUCAGCUUGUUGGUGAGGUAAUGGCUCACCAAGGCGUCGACGGGUAGCCGGCCUGAGGGGGUGACCGGCCACGCGGGGACUGAGAGACGGCCCAGACUCCUACGGGAGGCAGCAGUGGGGAAUAUUGCACAAUGGGCGAAAGCCUGAUGCAGCAACGCCGCGUGAGGGAUGACGGCCUUCGGGUUGUAAACCUCUUUUAGCAGGGAAGAAGCGAAAGUGACGGUACCUGCAGAAAAAGCGCCGGCUAACUACGUGCCAGCAGCCGCGGUAAGAC